CCUACGGGAGGCAGCAGUGAGGAAUAUUGGACAAUGGGCGCAAGCCUGAUCCAGCCAUGCCGCGUGCAGGAAGAAGCAUCUAUGGUGUGUAAACUGCUUUUGUACAGGAAGAAACACUCCCUCGUGAGGGAGCUUGACGGUACUGUAAGAAUAAGGACCGGCUAACUCCGUGCCAGCAGCCGCGGUAAUACGGAGGGUCCGAGCGUUAUCCGGAAUCAUUGGGUUUAAAGGGUCCGUAGGCGGUUUAAUAAGUCAGUGGUGAAAUCUGGUCGCUCAACGAUCAAACGGCCAUUGAUACUGUUAGACUUGAAUUAUAAGGAAGUAACUAGAAUAUGUAGUGUAGCGGUGAAAUGCUUAGAUAUUACAUGGAAUACCAAUUGCGAAGGCAGGUUACUACUUAUGGAUUGACGCUGAUGGACGAAAGCGUGGGGAGCGAACAGGAUUAGAUACCCUGGUAGUCCACGCCGUAAACGAUGGAUACUAGCUGUUCGGAGCAAUCUGGAGUGNGUAGACGAAGUAGAUAAGUAAUACCCACCGUACGGGGUAGGUACGGUUCGUCGAAGAAGUAGAAACGUAACGAAAGGAAAGUUAGUACGGCGUGAGACGUAGACCGACGGACGACGACGAGGGGAGGUUAGG
rnacentral:rRNA from 1 species